UACGUAGGUGGCAAGCGUUGUCCGGAUUUACUGGGCGUAAAGGGCGCGUAGGCGGUUCGUUAAGUCCUGUGUGAAAUCCCCCGGCUCAACUGGGGAACUGCACAGGAAACUAGCGGGCUUGAGUUCGGGAGAGGGAAGCGGAAUUCCGGGUGUAGUGGUGGAAUGCGUAGAGAUCCGGGAGGAACACCAGCGGCGAAGGCGGCAUCCUGGACUGGUCCUGACACUCAUGAGCGAAAGCGUGGGGAG
rnacentral:rRNA from 1 species